rnacentral:rRNA from 1 species
AACGAACGCUGGCGGCAGGCCUAACACAUGCAAGUCGAGCGCCCUUUCGGGGGAGCGGCGGACGGGUGAGUAACGCGUGGGAAUAUGCCCUUCUCUACGGAAUAGCCUCGGGAAACUGAGAGUAAUACCGUAUACGCCCUGUGGGGGAAAGAUUUAUCGGGGAAGGAUUAGCCCGCGUUGGAUUAGGUAGUUGGUAGGGUAAUGGCCUACCAAGCCGACGAUCCAUAGCUGGUUUGAGAGGAUGAUCAGCCACACUGGGACUGAGACACGGCCCAGACUCCUACGGGAGGGGGCAGGGGGGAUUCUUAGAAAAGGGGGGCACCCUUGAUCGCCCUUGGCGGGGGGAGUGAGAAGGCCUUUAGGGUAGAAAAGCUCUUUCAGCGGGAAAUAUAAGGAGGUUACCAAAAAAAGAAGCCCGGGCUAACUCCGUG